UUGCCAAUGUGCACUGCGGGGAACACAGCCUACCCUGUCCUCCCCUAGCUUAUGAAGCCCUACACUGGGCACCUGGACCCCACAAAGGAAUUCCAGGCUCAGCAGGGUCCCCAUUGUGGUGGAGGGCACCUUUGAGCGUCUCAAAGGGAGAUUCUACUUCCUCCUCACCUGGCUGGACCUUGGUACCAGGCUGUCAGCACAAGGUGGUCGAUCUGCAGAUGACUCAAGUGUCCACGGUUCUGUGUGAGCAAGUCUUGGCACCUAGGCAGAGGGUAUGGAGAAUGAACCGACAUGUGAUAGAGAUUCCAGAAGGAAAAGACUAGCAGGAGCAGUAGAAGCAAGAGAAGGCAGUGGCAUAAAGUCAUGGAAUCGUAGGAACAGAAGGGACCUCAAGAGGUCAUCAAGUCCUGUCUCCUGCACUCAUGGCAGGACCAAACACCAUCUAGACCAUCUAGAUCGUGGGGAUACAAAGUAA